rnacentral:tRNA from 1 species
GAAGGUAUAGCUCAGUGAUAAAGUCUGUGCUUACCAUUCAAGAGGUCCUAGAUUCAAUUCCUAGUACCUCCA